ACUUGACGGAGCGUGUGCUUUAUUUUGGGGCCUCUGGAUCCCAGCUCGUUGUCCCAUGGUUAGAUCUUCCGCGUUGGAGGCUAAGAACGGUAAAGUGGCGCAGAAGUUAGGAGGUGGGUGUGUGUCUAGCUGGCAGGGGGUACUUAAUAGAAGUCAAACGUAGUGAGGUUAUCUGUGCGCCGCGGUUGUGGGGUUCGAGGUGCUUCUUCGUUUGCGCUAAUCAGGUGCUCUAGGGUUUUUCGAGGAGAUUGUGUCGGUGUGGACUGAAGCAUGGUGAUAUCCAGUCGCACUGUCUUCGUGCCGCUUCUGGUUUGCUGUGUCGUGGUGACCCUUCUCCUCGCGGACGUCGCCGCUGUGCCCGACCACCAGCCGGGGCAGUCGAGGCCGGACAUUACAGGUGAUGCACAGGCGUUUUACCUUCGAGGCACCCCCGCGACCGAGAAAGUAGCUAGGGAGGCCGAGGCCAUGCAGACUAGGGAAAGCUUGGAAUCCUUCGCACGCCGUGAACUGAACGACUAUGGCUCAAACCCAGCGAAGUCCAAUCCGAACAACUGCCCCAGAUCGCAGAGACCCUGCAGACCGCGAUGAUCGCCUCAUAUUUUGCAAUUGUAUGCCUCAACUCCGUUCUGAUUGGGGUUCCGGGUUUGACACUGAGCAGCCAGGCGUUAGACAUCUCUACGAACAUGUGAACCUUGAGUGGCAAGUGUAGCCACGCUGUUGAUUCCAUGAGAGGGGAGACUUCGAAUUUUCCGGAUGUCAAAAGCCGCCAACUGCUCUCUAAUCUUUGCGUGAAGCGAAGGGUUCGUUGAUGGGCACUAUGCAUCGCAAAUCUUGUACAGUAAACUCAUUUUGGGGUCUACUGGAGUCUCAUGCACAACAUGGAGGAGAUGAGGCUAAGCGCCGCCAGACUGUACCCAGCGUCUGUGGCCGAACUUGGUGGAUGAUCUCGCCAUCGCUUGCACCGUAGUCUACUGUUCUUAACAAAGCGGCGCUCAAUUGUGUGUACCAAUUACUUUUCGUAAUUGGUCAAUGAUAUGGUUGUGAUAAGCUGUUACACUGCAAUGUAUAGACGUGGCUACGUGCGGAAAGAACUCAUAUACGUCUAGAAAGGUUUAUACUCUAUAAUUCAUAUUUUUUUAUCCAAGGAAUUCUUAAAUAUAAUUUCUUAGAUAUUUUAGAUUAGAGAUUUUUUUUAUUAUUAUUUUUUAAUUUUUUGUAACUUAUUUUCAAAUCUUGUUCCAAUAGAAGUGCACUAACUUAAUGCAAA